GAUGAACGCUGGCGGCGUGCUUAACACAUGCAAGUCGAACGGAAAGGCCCAAGCUUGCUUGGGUACUCGAGUGGCGAACGGGUGAGUAACACGUGGGUGAUCUGCCCUGCACUUCGGGAUAAGCCUGGGAAACUGGGUCUAAUACCGGAUAGGACGAUGGUUUGGAUGCCAUUGUGGAAAGUUUUUUCGGUGUGGGAUGAGCUCGCGGCCUAUCAGCUUGUUGGUGGGGUAAUGGCCUACCAAGGCGUCGACGGGUAGCCGGCCUGAGAGGGUGUACGGCCACAUUGGGACGGAGAUACGGCCCAGACUCCGACGGGAGGCAGCAGUGGGGAAUAUUGCACAAUGGGCGCAAGCCUGAUGCAGCGACGCCGCGUGGGGGAUGACGGCCUUCGGGUUGUAAACUCCUUUCGCUAGGGACGAAGCGUUUUUGUGACGGUACCUGGAGAAGAAGCACCGGCUAACUACGUG
rnacentral:rRNA from 1 species